UACGGAGGGGGCAAGCGUUGUCCGGAAUUACUGGGCGUAAAGAGCACGUAGGCGGAUCCAUAAGUUUGAUGUUAAAGGCAGCGGCUCACCCGCUGUAGGGCAUCAGAUACUGUGGAUCUGGAAUACGGUUGGGGAAGACAGAAUUCCUGGUGUAGCGGUGAAAUGCGCAGAUAUCAGGAGGAACACCAGUGGCGAAGGCGGCUUUCUGGCCCUAUACUGACGCUGAGACGCGAAAGCGUGGGGAGCAAACAGG
rnacentral:rRNA from 1 species